CUGUACAAAAAUUGCGAUCCCUUCCUUUGCAUCCCAUCUGCAAUCAUCCUCCUCCUCCCCUUCCUCCUUCUCCACCACCUCCUAUCCCCCUCUCUCGCUCCCUGCUUUCCUCCCCUUGCUCGUGUCUAUUCUGUCGCGUUAACCAGCUGCUAUUGAGAACGAGUCUGUAUCGUAAUUACGUGUAAUGAUUGUACCAACAAUGUGUACAGUGCUUACUUACUAUUGGCUUGACCGAGUAAUACAACGAUAAUUCCCUCAUUACUAACGGUCCUGCGUGACACGACACGAAGCAUUUGGCCCGUUUAUCCGCAGCGUUACGAUAUCAACCUAUUUCCCUGGACGUAUCACGUGGAAUCAAGAUUCCGCGGUUUGUCGGACAUACGCGUAACUAAUUCUCUUAUUUCCGUCACUGAACGCACACGCGAGCACGUACCGGGAACUUGUAGGAACACGUGGUCGCUUUGACAGAUAUUCCUGAUCUCACGUGAGAGCGCAUCCGUGGCUGCUUGGCGGACUGAAAAUCCCCGGAAGGUAUUUAUCGAUCGUUCCGCGCGGAGAGUAAUCGCGCGCCACGAUAUUCACCAGCGAAUGCGCUGCGAGUACAGAACCCUUGCGCGACCGGUUGCACUGAGUAACCCACGUCACCAAGGUCCACAUGAGCGGGGGAGGGAGUACUCGCAGUGAUUCAAGACUUCUCCUUUUAACUGGACACUUAAUAUUGAAUCGAGUCAAAGCGCCGCUGUCGAGGCGCAGUCCUACACGUGGGUCGAUCAGCUGAGUGAAUCACGUCUCGUCCGAAGCCUUUCAAAGCAUCCCAGUCUUGCGAGCAUUUCCACGCGAACAGUUAUUUUCUUUUUCUGCUAGCGACUCGCAACCUUCUUUUCAUUUUGAACGCACUCACCGGACACAUAGGCUUAUACUAGCGAUCAUGAAAUGAAAAUAAUGAAUCUUACAUUAACGUUUGAAAGAAUAAAUAGUUGUAAUUCGGGUUCGACAACUUGGAUACAGAUGAAUUAAUUCAAGCGUCUAAAUAUUAGUCGGUGUUAGUUGUUUCGAAACAGGUUUCGUUAAAAUUCCCAAGUGUCCAUCCACUUUAAGGAGUGCAUUGGACUUUCGGGAUCAUGGGCAGAUGGGCCAACCAUACCGUACGCCAAUGGUGAAAACAAAUAGAAACUGAAACAGACUAAAGCGGGCUGAUCCAUACAGCCACGCUGCUGUCGUACACAAGCAUGAACAUACAAAAUGAUAAAUAAUAUUAAGAAUACUAUGUUGCCCCACCAUAUGAUUGGAUUUCCGAACAUGUAUAUACACAAACUCCAAGGCAUCGACUAAAAAACUUACAAUAGGUUCUGUAAGAUUUCCUAAUUCAUUCCAUAAUUCAAUGGCUGUGUGAAGCCCGACCAAAAGGACAGCAAACAGACCAACAAAUUUUACGCUAAUUGUACAUGCAAGUGAAAUUCCUGUAAAAGAUAGCCAACCCCACCAUUUCCACGUGAAUGGUUCAUUGCGAAGAGAACUCAUGUGGGACAUACCCCAUGUUGCACACAUCAUAAAACAUAAUAGUAUGGGAUCCAAUAAUAUGUAUUGAUUUAAUGUCAACAAGCCAACAUCUACAAUACAUUAAUUAUUAAAAACAGUGUCCUUAUUAAGCAGAAAUGUUAAAAUGCACAUACCAAAUAAAAUAAAUGAUGCAGAAAAUACAGCUGCCUGAGUAGAUUUUGUUAAAUCCCAUACAAUUAGAUAUGAUAGAGGAACUGUGGUUGCACCUAAGAACGUACAAAACUGAAACAUAACGCAUUUAAUUUGUUUUUUUUUAUAGUAAAUAAUUUAAUCAUUAUAGUUGUAUUAACACAUUUGUGAUCAUGUGUCACAUAUGUGUGAUCACAGAUGCUUUUGUCGUCAAAACCCUAUUGUCGUAUUGGCUAUAUAAAAAUAUUAUUUAUGUAAAAUACUUUUAUCGUUUUAUUUACUAUGUUUUAAAUGUGUAUAAAUUAUUGUUCACAGUCUAUAGUAAGGGUAAUUCAAAUUUGAUAGUGGUCGCGAAUGUGUUAAUCUUGAAUUAUACUUACAAGCCUCAUACCAAUAUAUUUUACAUUUUCAUAUUUAUCUCCUGGCUUGUCAAAAGCAAAUGUUCCAUUAUAUCCAGUUAAAUAUCCGGAUAAACCUAUUAACAUCUGUAAAUUAACAAUGUACAUUCUUAGUAUACACAUACAGAUUUUAUAAAUGAAAUACUUACCUUUCCAAGGGGUGGGUGAACAUCGAAAAAGAAUGUUCUAUUUAUAUACCAACUUCCCAUUUUACCAAAAUGUGUCUCAUCCCAACUAAAAAUUAAUACUUAUGUAAAUUACAAAUUGUACGUUUAUUCUAU